CUCCUCAGGCUCCAGACAAGGGUAUCAGAGUGGCAUCUUCUCCCCUGAUCCCUCCCCCUCCUCCAAUGUCAGCCUUUGGAAAGAGAGGAGAUGAGUUGGAAGCACAAUCCAAGGAGCUAUGACUAUGGCUGGCAGACCAGAUGCUCUGAAAGUUGGUACAGGCAACCAUACCAGGGAUCAGACCCUAACACUGUGUAUAUCAAGGGUGCCUGCAAAAAUAAUGGCAGACCAGGGGCACAAGGAGGUAUCAGUGCCUCCUGGGGACCAGACAAUGAUCUAAACAUAAGUGAUACAUAUUCUGGACGACAGACAAACCAAAGUGCAUCAUUAGAAGCAGCUACCAAAGUGAUUGAUCAAGCAAAGGCCCAAAAUAUGGGCAGAAUUACUGUGUGCACAGAUAACCAACUUAUCACCAAAGAAGUAUGCACCUGCUCGGUCAAAAGUUGAAGGCAGUGCUGAAGCUCAAAUAUUAGCCAGAAAAGCAACUAGAAAGAAGUGAGAAGACUCAGCUCAAUACUUGGAGUGUCAUUGCUCUGACAUUCUGACACUCUGACACUUCUAGUGUCAUUAUCUUUAACCCUGCAAUAUAAUCUCCAACUUAUUUUAUCUUUACCGUCCCCCUUCUGUUUGAGCUAUCUUCUAUGGCUCUCUUUGGUAAUUUUUUUUCUUCAUAUCCUUUCUCAAUUUUUCUAUGUGCUAUUUUUUCUUUAAUACUAUAAACAAAAAAAAAUUACCAUGAACUAUACUAUAAACAGCUAUAGAAAUUGUUCACCUGUACUAACAAUAAGAGAAAGGCAGAUAUCCUCAUCUCUGUCAUAACCAUCUGAACUUUGACUUGUUCAACUCUUGCCCCAGAUCACCUAGAAACCAAAUCCAGACUGCUUGACUGCUCACAUGACUUGGGGUAAUGGGAGUCACCAACUUUUCCUUCAGGUAAAAUGGACUGGAAACAAACCUUGCCAUCUGCGUUUUCUAAGAACUUCCUGGCUUUACCAUUUGCCCUGCUUGUAUACCUUACUCUAUCUUGAUAUUAUCUGACCUUCUGACAAUCUAAAGAUGCCUGUCUGGGCCACGUAAUUUGCCCCUCUGGUGUGCAUCCUUUGCAUCUCAGCACCUAAAGCUAUGCUUUGCACUUAGUUUUUUCAUUCAAGUUUGAUACCCUUUACGAUAAGGACCUUACUAACCCCUCCAGGCAGCUCAUUCCUGAUUUGUAACGGAAAACUGCCUUGCUGUAACUUCCAACCAAGAUUCCAAAUUUUGUCAUUGGUAUAAAUGCUCAAUUAACAUCCUGAAACAUAAAAAAAAAAUUAUAAAUGUAAAAAAAAAUCUUAUCUCAGAGUAGUAAAAACAAACAAACAAAAACAAACA
rnacentral:lncRNA from 1 species